CCCUUAGAUGCUCUGGGCUGCACGCGCGCUACACUGAUGCACUCAACGAGUUUACGACCUUGCCCGAUAGGGUUGGGUAAUCUUUUUAAAAUGCAUCGUGAUGGGGAUAGAUUAUUGCAAUUAUUAAUCUUCAACGAGGAAUUCCUAGUAAGCGCGAGUCAUCAGCUCGUGCUGAUUACGUCCCUGCCCUUUGUACACACCGCCCGUCGCUCCUACCGAUUGAGUGCUCAGGUGAAUAAUUCGGACUGCAGCAAUGUUUGGAUCCCGAACGUUGCAGCGGAAAGUUUAGUGAACCUUNUNACUUAGNGGAAGGAGAANUCGUANCA
rnacentral:rRNA from 1 species